rnacentral:tRNA from 1 species
GGGCGGUUAGCUCAGCUGGUAGAGCAUCUCGUUUACACCGAGCAGGUCGGCGGUUCGAUCCCGUCACCGCCCACCA